rnacentral:rRNA from 1 species
GUAUAUAAAAAUUAAUUUUUUUAUAUACGUAUCGACUAUGUCGAAUAAAGUUCUAGGUAUAUAAUUGAUAAUGACAAUAAUAUAUCUAUAUGUCUUGACCAAAUCUUGUGCCAGCAGUCGCGGCAAUACAAGGAAGACUAGUGUUAUUCAUCUUUAUUAGGUUUAAAGGGUACCUAGACGGUAAAUUCAGCCUUUAAAAGGUACAAAUUUACUAGAGUUUUAUACGGGAGGUAAAUAUUAGGAUCAUUGGUGUAGAGAUGAAAUUUUUUGAUACUAAUGAGACGGAUGACGGCGAAGGCAACCCUUUAUGUAUAAACUGACGUUGAGGGACGAAGGCUUGGGUAGCGAAUAGGAUUAGAUACCCUAGUAGUCCAGGCAGAAAAUUAUGAAUGUUAUAUACUAAAUUAAAAAUUGGUGUAUCAAUGAAAGUGCAAGCAUUCCACCUCAAGAGUAAUGUGGCAACGCAGGAACUGAAAUCAUUAGACCGUUUCUGAAAUCAGUAG